GAUGAACGCUGGCGGCGUGCCUAAUACAUGCAAGUCGAGCGAACAGACGAGGAGCUUACUCCUCUGACGUUAGCGGCGGACGGGUGAGUAACACGUGGAUAACCUACCUAUAAGACUGGGAUAACUUCGGGAAACCGGAGCUACUACCGGAUAACAUGUUGAACCGCAUGGUUCAACAGUGCAAGACGGUCUUGCUGUCACUUAUAGAUGGAUCCGCGUCGCAUUAGCUAGUUGGUAAGGUAACGGCUUACCAAGGCAACGAUGCGUAGCCGACCUGAGAGGGUGAUCGGCCACACUGGAACUGAGACACGGUCCAGACUCCUACGGGAGGCAGCAGUAGGGAAUCUUCCGCAAUGGGCGAAAGCCUGACAGAGCAACGCCGCGUGAGUGAAGAAGGUCUUCGGAUCGUAAAACUCUGUUAUUAGGGAAGAACAAAUGUGUAAGUAACUAUGCACGUCUUGACGGUACCUAAUCAGAAAGCCACGGCUAACUACGUG
rnacentral:rRNA from 1 species